rnacentral:pre_miRNA from 14 species
UUCUCUACUUUUGAAAGAUCCCCGAAGGGAGACCCUUACUCAAGUCUUGGGAAGUCACGGGUCCCAGACACACGAGAGACU